rnacentral:rRNA from 1 species
GAUCCUGGCUCAGGAUGAACGCUAGCUACAGGCUUAACACAUGCAAGUCGAGGGGCAUCAGGGUGUAGCAAUACACCGCUGGCGACCGGCGCACGGGUGAGUAACACGUAUCCAACCUGCCCUUUACUCGGGGAUAGCCUUUCGAAAGAAAGAUUAAUACCCGAUGGUAUAACAUGACCUCCUGGUUUUGUUAUUAAAGAAUUUCGGUAGAGGAUGGGGAUGCGUUCCAUUAGGCAGUUGGCGGGGUAACGGGCCCACC